GGCCCAAAAUCUUCCUCUUGAGCCCAUGCUAAUAGGAACGUUACAUCAAUACAGCGAAAUUUCAGAUUUCCAUCUUGGGAGCUUGGAGGAACAAAGGAGGUUCGAUUGCGAAGCUCAGUCGUGAUCUAGAUGGCUGAUGAAGUGCUUGUUGACCCAAAGAAGUACCUUGAAGACCGUUGCGAACCAAAAUGUGUAAAAGCAUUAUAUGUAUACAAGUUGGCGCAUGGUGGGUUGUUUUCCUUUUUUCACAAACAUCUCGCAUGAAAUUGGAAUGUGUUAAGAGGAGCAAAGACAGAUGAAACUGGGCUCAAUCACUGUACUGGUCAAUAUUUUGAUUAUUGGUCAUGCGGUGACAAAUGCGUGACUACAUCUCUUCAAUUUUUAUUACACCUGUUAUUCGUCUUAAUUUCGGUCAUUACUUGCAAUCUUUUGAAAUAUUCGAUAACUGUUGACCUAUUUAAUAAAAACGAAUCUUUAAAUGCUGCACUUUGAAUGCAGGCUGCUCCAAGCAAACUGAAAUAAAAUGAUCAAAUAUCUACCUUUUUUGCCUCAACAGAGAAAUCCUUGUAUGAUAGAAAGUCGAAGUACACUAAAACUUGCUGAAACUGGAAUUUAGAAGGAUAAUUAAGAAAACGAAGACUUGACGACUAUAUUCUUGAAGAAAGCUAAUACAUGGUCACAUAGUGAGGACAACUUCAUACCAUCGAUAGAGAGGCACUCGGGGAUCGCUUCCACCUCCUAUGAAAUCAUACAAUGUAUAUGAGCCGUAUCCGACUCAUGAAAACAGCAAUGGCGACUCUGCAAUGGUUCUCUCUGAACAUUGUUCAAAUAUGACUUGGUUUACCUUAUUGAAGAGGUUUUUGUUCAACUUUGUCCAGUUUUUUGUUAUUUUGUUAGUGUUUGUAUAUACAGGUUUCCUUCUGUAUAGCUUAGGGUGGAAGUAUGUUGUAUGGGUAUUAGUUUACCAUUGUAUUGUUGAAGAUGGUAGGUUUUUUUUUAUAAAGAACUUGUCCAGUUUCUAUAAGCUUUGUGAUUACAACA